rnacentral:rRNA from 1 species
GAUGAACGCUGGCGGCGUGCCUAAUACAUGCAAGUCGAGCGAACGGAUGAGAAGCUUGCUCCUCUGAUGUUAGCGGCGGACGGGUGAGUAACACGUGGAUAACCUACCUAUAAGACUGGGAUAACUUCGGGAAACCGGAGCUAAUACCGGAUAAUAUAUUGAACCGCAUGGUUCAAUAGUGAAAGACGGUUUUGCUGUCACUUAUAGAUGGAUCCGCGCCGCAUUAGCUAGUUGGUAAGGUAACGGCUUACCAAGGCAACGAUGCGUAGCCGACCUGAGAGGGUGAUCGGCCACACUGGAACUGAGACACGGUCCAGACUCCUACGGGAGGCAGCAGUAGGGAAUCUUCCGCAAUGGGCGAAAGCCUGACGGAGCAACGCCGCGUGAGUGAUGAAGGUCUUCGGAUCGUAAAACUCUGUUAUUAGGGAAGAACAAAUGUGUAAGUAACUGUGCACGUCUUGACGGUACCUAAUCAGAAAGCCACGGCUAACUACGUG